rnacentral:tRNA from 1 species
GGGGAGUUGGCCGAGUGGACAAUGGCACCAGACUGUAAAUCUGGCGGGGCAACCCUACGGAGGUUCGAAUCCUCCACUCCCCA